AGAGUUUGAUCCUGGCUCAGGAUGAACGCUGGCGGUAUGCUUAACACAUGCAAGUCGAACGGGACCUUUCGGGGUCUAGUGGCGGACGGGUGAGUAACGCGUGAGAACAUGCCCUUAGGUUCGGGACAACAGUUGGAAACGGCUGCUAAUACCGAAUGUGCCGAGAGGUGAAAGAUUAAUUGCCUAGGGAUUGGCUCGCGUCAGAUUAGCUAGUUGGUGGAGUAACGGUUUACCAAGGCGACGAUCUGUAUUUGGUCUGAGAGGAUGACCAGACACACUGGGACUGAGACACGGCCCAGACUCCUACGGGAGGCAGCAGUGGGGAAUUUUCCGCAAUGGGCGAAAGCCUGACGGAGCAAUACCGCGUGAGGGAGGAAGGCUUUUGGGUUGUAAACCUCUUUUAUCAGGGAAGAAACAAAUGACGGUACCUGAUGAAUCAGCAUCGGCUAACUCCGUGCCAGCAGCCGCGGUAAUACGGAGGAUGCAAGCGUUAUCCGGAAUUAUUGGGCGUAAAGCGUCCGUAGGUGGUUUUUCAAGUCUGCUGUUAAAGCGUGGAGCUCAACUCCAUAUCGGCAGUGGAAACUGGGAGACUAGAGUGCGAUAGGGGUAACGGGAAUUCCCAGUGUAGCGGUGAAAUGCGUAGAGAUUGGGAAGAACACCAGCGGCGAAAGCGCGUUACUGGGUCUGCACUGACACUGAGGGACGAAAGCUAGGGGAGCGAAAGGGAUUAGAUACCCCUGUAGUCCUAGCCGUAAACGAUGGAUACUAGGUGUGGUUCGUAUCGACCCGAGCCGUGCCGGAGCUAACGCGUUAAGUAUCCCGCCUGGGGAGUACGCACGCAAGUGUGAAACUCAAAGGAAUUGACGGGGGCCCGCACAAGCGGUGGAGUAUGUGGUUUAAUUCGAUGCAACGCGAAGAACCUUACCAAGGCUUGACAUGUCGCGAAUCUUCCUGAAAGGGGAGAGUGCCUUCGGGAGCGCGAACACAGGUGGUGCAUGGCUGUCGUCAGCUCGUGUCGUGAGAUGUUGGGUUAAGUCCCGCAACGAGCGCAACCCACGUUUUUAGUUGCCAGCAUUCAGUUGGGCACUCUAGAGAGACUGCCGGUGACAAACCGGAGGAAGGUGUGGAUGACGUCAAGUCAGCAUGCCCCAUACGCCUUGGGCUACACACGUACUACAAUGCUACGGACAGAGGGACGCCAGCCCGCGAGGGUGAGCAAAUCUCGUAAACCGUGGCUCAGUUCAGAUUGCAGGCUGCAACUCGCCUGCAUGAAGGCGGAAUCGCUAGUAAUCGCCGGUCAGCAUACGGCGGUGAAUACGUUCCCGGGCCUUGUACACACCGCCCGUCACACCAUGGGAGUUGGUCAUGCCCGAAGUCGUUACUCCAACCAUUCGUGGAGGGGGACGCCGAAGGUGGGGCUGAUGACUGGGGUGAAGUCGUAACAAGGUAGCCGUACCGGAAGGUGUGGCUGGAUCACCUCCUUUUAGGGAGACCUUACCCCCAUUAUUUGUGAGCGUUGUGUUUGCUGUGAGCAAAUGCACGUUUAAGGCAAAGAAUGGCAGGUCAUCUCAAGGUCGGUCGAAGACUAAGUGUUGGCUUCUAAACUAUUCAGGUUCGGGUUAUGGGCUAUUAGCUCAGGUGGUUAGAGCGCACCCCUGAUAAGGGUGAGGUCCCUGGUUCGAGUCCAGGAUGGCCCACCUUACGAUUAAGUUUGGGGGUUUAGCUCAGUUGGUAGAGCGCCUGCUUUGCAAGCAGGAUGUCAGCGGUUCGAGUCCGCUAACCUCCACUGAGGGAUAUUUCAGCAACAGUAUUAGUUGAACUAAGCUGCCUGCCGGGAGACAUUCCAGCAAGAACCAUGAAAACUGCAUAGUGAUAAGCAAUUAAGUCAGGUAGAAGUUCAUCUUUAGUCUGUCUUCAUGUCUUCAGGAUUGAAGCGACGAGAUGAACCUUCAUAGACACCAAUGAAAAUGAGUUAGUGGUCAAGCUAACAAGGGCAGAUGGUGGAUACCUAGGCACACAGAGGCGAAG
rnacentral:rRNA from 1 species